GGUUUGAGUCUGUUUAGCUCAUAUCGAUCAGUUGGUAGAGCACCAGACUGUAUAUCGAUCAGUUGGUAGAGCACCAGACUGCAGCAGAGUGGGAGGUCGCGGGUUCGAGUCCCGGCCGGACCA